UACGGAGGGUGCGAACGUUAAUCGGAAUUACUGGGCGUAAAGCGCGCGUAGGCGGUUCGGUAAGUGGGAUGUGAAAGCCCCGGGCUUAACCUGGGAACUGCGUUUCAAACUACCGGGCUAGAGUAUGGUAGAGGGAGGUAGAAUUGCAUGUGUAGCGGUGAAAUGCGUAGAUAUAGGAAGGAAUACCGGUGGCGAAGGCGGCCUCCUGGACCAAUACUGACGCUGAGGUGAGAAAGCGUGGGGAGCAAACAGG
rnacentral:rRNA from 1 species